rnacentral:rRNA from 1 species
AUUGAACGCUGGCGGCAGGCUUAACACAUGCAAGUCGAGCGGAGAUGAGGUGCUUGCACCUUAUCUUAGCGGCGGACGGGUGAGUAAUGCUUAGGAAUCUGCCUAUUAGUGGGGGACAACAUUCCGAAAGGAAUGCUAAUACCGCAUACGUCCUACGGGAGAAAGCAGGGGAUCUUCGGACCUUGCGCUAAUAGAUGAGCCUAAGUCGGAUUAGCUAGUUGGCGGGGUAAAGGCCUACCAAGGCGACGAUCUGUAGCGGGUCUGAGAGGAUGAUCCGCCACACUGGGACUGAAAAACGGCCCAGACUCCUACGGGAGGCAGCAGUGGGGAAUAUUGGACAAUGGGGGGAACCCUGAUCCAGCCAUGCCGCGUGUGUGAAGAAGGCCUUAUGGUUGUAAAGCACUUUAAGCGAGGAGGAGGCUACUGAGACUAAUACUCUUGGAUAGUGGACGUUACUCGCAGAAUAAGCACCGGCUAACUCUGUGCCAGCAGCCGCAGUAAUAC